rnacentral:rRNA from 1 species
GACGAACGCUGGCGGCGUGCCUAAUACAUGCAAGUCGAACGGAGUGGCGCACGGGCGAGUAAUAUAUAGCUAAUCUGCCCCUUGCUGGAGGACAACAGUUAGAAAUGACUGCUAAUACUCCAUAGCAAGGGAUGAGACUAUAUCGUAUCAGCUAGUCGGUGGGGUAACGGCCUACCGAGGCUAGGACUCGUCACUGGUCUGAGAGGAUGAUCAGUAACAUUGGAACUGAGGCACGGUCCGAACACCGGCGGGAGGCGGCGGUAGGGAAUAUUGCGCAAUGGGGGAAAGCCUGACGCACCACCGCCGCGUGAAGGAUGACACUUUUCGGAGCGUAAACUCCUUUUGUUAGGGAACCGGUACCUAACGAAUAAGCACCGGCUAACUCCGUGCCAGCAGCCGCGGUAAUAC